UGGGGCUGUGGUUCAGUAGCACAGCACCUGCUUUGCGAACAGAGGGUCCCAGGUUCAAUCCCUGGCAUCCCAG
rnacentral:tRNA from 1 species